rnacentral:rRNA from 1 species
CCUACGGGUGGCAGCAGUCGAGAAUUAUUCACAAUGGGGGAAACCCUGAUGGUGCUAUGCCGCGUGGGGGAAUGAAGGUCUUCGGUUUGUAAACCCCUGUCAUGUGGGCGCAAAUUAAAAAGAUAGUACCACAAGAGGAAGAGACGGCUAACUCUGUGCCAGCAGCCGCGGUAAUACAGAGGUCUCAAGCGUUGUUCGGAACCACUGGGCGUAAAGCGUGCGCAGGCUGUUUCGUAAGACGUGUGUGAAAGGCGCGGGCUCAACCCGCGGACGGCACAUGAUACUGCGAGACUAGAGUAUUGGAGGGGGAACCGGAAUUCUCAGUGUAGCAGUGAAAUGCGUAGAUAUCGAGAGGAACACUCGUGGCGAAGGCGGGUUCCUGGACAGUAACUGACGCUGAGACACGAAGGCCAGGGGAGCGAAAGGGAUUAGAUACCCGGGUAGUC